rnacentral:rRNA from 1 species
UACAGAGGUCUCGAGCGUUGUUCGGAUUCACUGGGCGUAAAGGGUGCGUAGGUGGUGACGUAAGUCGGAUGUGAAAUCUCGGAGCUCAACUCCGAAACGGCAUUGGAAACUGCGUUGCUAGAGGGUUGGAGGGGGGACUGGAAUGCUUGGUGUAGCAGUGAAAUGCGUAGAUAUCAAGCGGAACACCAGUGGCGAAGGCGAGUCCCUGGACAACACCUGACACUGAGGCACGAAAGCUAGGGGAGCAAACAGG